rnacentral:rRNA from 1 species
AUUGAACGCUGGCGGCAUGCCUUACACAUGCAAGUCGAACGGUAACAGGUCUUCGGAUGCUGACGAGUGGCGAACGGGUGAGUAAUAUAUCGGAACGUGCCCAGUCGUGGGGGAUAACGCAGCGAAAGCUGUGCUAAUACCGCAUACGAUCUAUGGAUGAAAGCGGGGGAUCGCAAGACCUCGCGCGAUUGGAGCGGCCGAUAUCAGAUUAGGUAGUUGGUGGGGUAAAGGCCCACCAAGCCAACGAUCUGUAGCUGGUCUGAGAGGACGACCAGCCACACUGGAACUGAGACACGGUCCAGACUCCUACGGGAGGCAGCAGUGGGGAAUUUUGGACAAUGGGCGCAAGCCUGAUCCAGCAAUGCCGCGUGCAGGAUGAAGGCCUUCGGUUGUAACUAGCUUUGUACGGAACGAAAAGGACUCUGGUUAAUACCUGGGCGUCAUGACGGUACCGUAAGAAUAAGCACCGGCUAACUACGUAGCCAGCA